AAUUUAGUCAACAAGCCUUUCUUAAACACCCAUUAUGUGCCAAGCACUGGGCUAAAAAUUGGGGAUACAAAGAAAGUAAAAAAACAAGUUCCUCUUUUCAAUGAGUUCACAGUCCAAUAGGAGAGACAAUAUGCCAACUUCUAUGUAAAAACAAGGAGCAGCUCUCACUUUGCAAAGGUUCUGUAUGUUCCAAUGGAUCCCCUUAUAUCUGGGCAUCAAUUUCAAAGAAAAAUAAAGUCCUGGGAGUUUACUCCAUUGAAAACAUAUUUUCUGGACUCAUUCAGUAAGAGCAGUGUGAUGAGGAAAUUGAGUCUUCAAGAAAUUAAAUGAAUUACCAGGAGUACAUACCUAAUAAUUGUACUACAUGAGGAUAUUUGACCUGGAAAAUAAGAGAUUUGGAAGGUGAGGAGUAUGAUUUCUACAUGACAACUUCUCAAGACUUAAAGAUAGCAGAUGUGGAAGAUUUGUUCAAUAGAGCCCUAAAGAAAAGUAUGUUGUAUAAACUGCUGAAGAAUUGUCUUGCUAAUUAAGGCUUCCCUCUUUGCUAUAAGACUAUAAAUAAAAACAUUUUAUCCUCAAAAAAAAUUGUGUAG
rnacentral:lncRNA from 1 species